rnacentral:rRNA from 1 species
GAUGAACGCUGGCGGCGUGCCUAAUACAUGCAAGUCGAGCGAACAGACGAGGAGCUUGCUCCUCUGACGUUAGCGGCGGACGGGUGAGUAACACGUGGAUAACCUACCUAUAAGACUGGGAUAACUUCGGGAAACCGGAGCUAAUACCGGAUAAUAUAUUGAACCGCAUGGUUCAAUAGUGAAAGACGGUUUUGCUGUCACUUAUAGAUGGAUCCGCGCCGCAUUAGCUAGUUGGUAAGGUAACGGCUUACCAAGGCAACGAUGCGUAGCCGACCUGAGAGGGGGAUACGCCAGACGUGAGCAGCGGCACGGACCAGACGCCGACGGGAUGCAGCAUUGCGGCAUAUUCAGCAAAGGUCGAAUAACUGACAUACUAUGGCCGCAUGAAUGAUCAAGGGCUUAGGACCUUAAGCACCUGUUAUCGGGAAAGAACCAAUGUGUAAGUAACAAUGCACGGCUUGACGGUACCUAAACAGACCGCCACGGCUAACUACGAC